rnacentral:rRNA from 2 species
GGUUAAGCGACUAAGCGUACACGGUGGAUGCCCUGGCAGUCAGAGGCGAUGAAGGACGUGCUAAUCUGCGAUAAGCGUCGGUAAGGUGAUAUGAACCGUUAUAACCGGCGAUUUCCGAAUGGGGAAACCCAGUGUGUUUCGACACACUAUCAUUAACUGAAUCCAUAGGUUAAUGAGGCGAACCGGGGGAACUGAAACAUCUAAGUACCCCGAGGAAAAGAAAUCAACCGAGAUUCCCCCAGUAGCGGCGAGCGAACGGGGAGCAGCCCAGAGCCUGAAUCAGUGUGUGUGUUAGUGGAAGCGUCUGGAAAGGCGCGCGAUACAGGGUGACAGCCCCGUACACAAAAAUGCACAUGCUGUGAGCUCGAUGAGUAGGGCGGGACACGUGGUAUCCUGUCUGAAUAUGGGGGGACCAUCCUCCAAGGCUAAAUACUCCUGACUGACCGAUAGUGAACCAGUACCGUGAGGGAAAGGCGAAAAGAACCCCGGCGAGGGGAGUGAAAAAGAACCUGAAACCGUGUACGUACAAGCAGUGGGAGCACAGAGCAAUCUGUGUGACUGCGUACCUUUUGUAUAAUGGGUCAGCGACUUAUAUUCUGUAGCAAGGUUAACCGAAUAGGGGAGCCGAAGGGAAACCGAGUCUUAACUGGGCGUUAAGUUGCAGGGUAUAGACCCGAAACCCGGUGAUCUAGCCAUGGGCAGGUUGAAGGUUGGGUAACACUAACUGGAGGACCGAACCGACUAAUGUUGAAAAAUUAGCGGAUGACUUGUGGCUGGGGGUGAAAGGCCAAUCAAACCGGGAGAUAGCUGGUUCUCCCCGAAAGCUAUUUAGGUAGCGCCUCGUGAAUUCAUCUCCGGGGGUAGAGCACUGUUUCGGCAAGGGGGUCAUCCCGACUUACCAACCCGAUGCAAACUGCGAAUACCGGAGAAUGUUAUCACGGGAGACACACGGCGGGUGCUAACGUCCGUCGUGAAGAGGGAAACAACCCAGACCGCCAGCUAAGGUCCCAAAGUCAUGGUUAAGUGGGAAACGAUGUGGGAAGGCCCAGACAGCCAGGAUGUUGGCUUAGAAGCAGCCAUCAUUUAAAGAAAGCGUAAUAGCUCACUGGUCGAGUCGGCCUGCGCGGAAGAUGUAACGGGGCUAAACCAUGCACCGAAGCUGCGGCAGCGACGCUUAUGCGUUGUUGGGUAGGGGAGCGUUCUGUAAGCCUGUGAAGGUGUGCUGUGAGGCAUGCUGGAGGUAUCAGAAGUGCGAAUGCUGACAUAAGUAACGAUAAAGCGGGUGAAAAGCCCGCUCGCCGGAAGACCAAGGGUUCCUGUCCAACGUUAAUCGGGGCAGGGUGAGUCGACCCCUAAGGCGAGGCCGAAAGGCGUAGUCGAUGGGAAACAGGUUAAUAUUCCUGUACUUGGUGUUACUGCGAAGGGGGGACGGAGAAGGCUAUGUUGGCCGGGCGACGGUUGUCCCGGUUUAAGCGUGUAGGCUGGUUUUCCAGGCAAAUCCGGAAAAUCAAGGCUGAGGCGUGAUGACGAGGCACUACGGUGCUGAAGCAACAAAUGCCCUGCUUCCAGGAAAAGCCUCUAAGCAUCAGGUAACAUCAAAUCGUACCCCAAACCGACACAGGUGGUCAGGUAGAGAAUACCAAGGCGCUUGAGAGAACUCGGGUGAAGGAACUAGGCAAAAUGGUGCCGUAACUUCGGGAGAAGGCACGCUGAUAUGUAGGUGAGGUCCCUCGCGGAUGGAGCUGAAAUCAGUCGAAGAUACCAGCUGGCUGCAACUGUUUAUUAAAAACACAGCACUGUGCAAACACGAAAGUGGACGUAUACGGUGUGACGCCUGCCCGGUGCCGGAAGGUUAAUUGAUGGGGUUAGCGGUAACGCGAAGCUCUUGAUCGAAGCCCCGGUAAACGGCGGCCGUAACUAUAACGGUCCUAAGGUAGCGAAAUUCCUUGUCGGGUAAGUUCCGACCUGCACGAAUGGCGUAAUGAUGGCCAGGCUGUCUCCACCCGAGACUCAGUGAAAUUGAACUCGCUGUGAAGAUGCAGUGUACCCGCGGCAAGACGGAAAGACCCCGUGAACCUUUACUAUAGCUUGACACUGAACAUUGAGCCUUGAUGUGUAGGAUAGGUGGGAGGCUUUGAAGUGUGGACGCCAGUCUGCAUGGAGCCGGCCUUGAAAUACCACCCUUUAAUGUUUGAUGUUCUAACGUUGGCCCCUGAUCGGGGUUGCGGACAGUGUCUGGUGGGUAGUUUGACUGGGGCGGUCUCCUCCUAAAGAGUAACGGAGGAGCACGAAGGUUGGCUAAUCCUGGUCGGACAUCAGGAGGUUAGUGCAAUGGCAUAAGCCAGCUUGACUGCGAGCGUGACGGCGCGAGCAGGUGCGAAAGCAGGUCAUAGUGAUCCGGUGGUUCUGAAUGGAAGGGCCAUCGCUCAACGGAUAAAAGGUACUCCGGGGAUAACAGGCUGAUACCGCCCAAGAGUUCAUAUCGACGGCGGUGUUUGGCACCUCGAUGUCGGCUCAUCACAUCCUGGGGCUGAAGUAGGUCCCAAGGGUAUGGCUGUUCGCCAUUUAAAGUGGUACGCGAGCUGGGUUUAGAACGUCGUGAGACAGUUCGGUCCCUAUCUGCCGUGGGCGCUGGAGAACUGAGGGGGGCUGCUCCUAGUACGAGAGGACCGGAGUGGACGCAUCACUGGUGUUCGGGUUGUCAUGCCAAUGGCACUGCCCGGUAGCUAAAUGCGGAAGAGAUAAGUGCUGAAAGCAUCUAAGCACGAAACUUGCCCCGAGAUGAGUUCUCCCUGACUCCUUGAGAGUCCUGAAGGAACGUUGAAGACGACGACGUUGAUAGGCCGGGUGUGUAAGCGCAGCGAUGCGUUGAGCUAACCGGUACUAAUGAACCGUGAGGCUUAACCUUA